AACGGGUUGUCUCAGUUGUCAGC
rnacentral:miRNA from 1 species